GAGUUUGAUCAUGGCUCAGAACGAACGCUGGCGGCGUGCUUAACACAUGCAAGUCGAACGAGAACCAGAGCUUGCUCUGGUGAAAGCGGCGCACGGGUGAGUAACGCGUGGAUAACCUACCCUGGUGUCCGGGAUAACAUCUUGAAAAGGGUGCUAAUACCGGAUAAGCCCACGGGAUCUUCGGAUUCUGCGGGAAAAGGUGGCCUCUAUUUAUAAGCUACCGUAUCAGGAUGGGUCCGCGUACCAUUAGCUAGUUGGUGGUGUAAUGGACCACCAAGGCGACGAUGGUUAGCUGGUCUGAGAGGAUGAUCAGCCACACUGGAACUGAGACACGGUCCAGACUCCUACGGGAGGCAGCAGUGGGGAAUUUUGCGCAAUGGGGGAAACCCUGACGCAGCAACGCCGCGUGAGUGAUGAAGGCUUUCGGGUCGUAAAGCUCUGUCAGUGGGGAAGAAAUGUAGGAGUAUUAAUACCACUUUUACUUGACGGUACCCACAAAGGGAGCACCGGCUAACUCCGUGCCAGCAGCCGCGGUAAUACGGGGGGUGCAAGCGUUGUUCGGAUUUAUUGGGCGUAAAGCGCGUGUAGGCGGUUUCUUAAGUCUGAUGUGAAAGCCCUGGGCUCAACCCGGGAAGUGCAUUGGAUACUGGGAGACUUGAAUACGGGAGAGGGUAGUGGAAUUCCUAGUGUAGGAGUGAAAUCCGUAGAUAU
rnacentral:rRNA from 1 species